rnacentral:snoRNA from 1 species
CCAAACAGACUUCAGAGAAUCAUUUCUAUAGUAUUCGUCUACCUCUGUAUUCUCCAAAAGAGCUACAGAUCCCACCCUGGAAGAUGAUCCAAAUCCCCGCCGCCCUAGAGUGAAGUUUUCAACGGGGAGUCUGCCACUUGUGGCCUUCUCCCUUUACUCUCGAUCUGUCCGCAAGGAUGGCGGCCGACCCUCGCGGUAGGCUGUAUAGAGAGUGAUGAUGAUCUCAACCCCGAUUUCGCUGUGGUCUUGCCUUCGGGCGCACGGCCGGGGUGGGCGAUGUGGGAAGUCUGACAGGU